UACGGAGGGGGCUAGCGUUGUUCGGAAUUACUGGGCGUAAAGCGCACGUAGGCGGCUUUUUAAGUCAGAGGUGAAAGCCCGGAGCUCAACUCCGGAAUUGCCUUUGAGACUGGAUGGCUUGAAUCACGGAGAGGUGGGUGGAAUUCCGAGUGUAGAGGUGAAAUUCGUAGAUAUUCGGAAGAACACCAGUGGCGAAGGCGACUCACUGGCCCAUUACUGACGCUGAGGCGCGAAAAGCGUGGGGGAGCAAACAGG
rnacentral:rRNA from 1 species